rnacentral:rRNA from 1 species
CUUAUAAGGAAUAAUUAUCCACUGGAUUCUACCACAUGUGCAUUAUGUAGAGAUCAAUCAAUGGAAGACAGAACUCACCUUCUGUUUGGUUUCCCCUUUAGCCAGAGUUUCUGGUGGAGUAUUGGUGUGGAAUGGAACAUUGAUUUAAACAUCAAUAUGAUGAUCAUGGAUGCAAAAAAUAGAUAUAAAUGGGAAUUCUUCAUGGAAAUUCUUAUCACAGGAUGCUGGGCCAUUUGGAAUCAAAGAAAUGAUGAAAUAUUUGAAGGCACGAGAUGUUCCUUAACACAAUGCAGGAUCAAUUUCAUGGGAUAUUUUAAAGACACUAUGAUCAGGGCUAAGCCUAAUAUCAAGGAGGGCAUGAUUUCAUGGCUCGAUAGCAUGUAG